rnacentral:rRNA from 1 species
AACGAACGCUGGCGGCAUGCCUAACACAUGCAAGUCGAGCGCCUGUAGCGAUACGGGAGCGGCGCACGGGUGAGUAACGCGUGGGAACCUGCCCUUAGGUUCGGGACAACCGCGGGAAACUGCGGCUGAUACCGGAUGAAGUCCCCGAUAGAGAUAUUGGGGCCCAAAGAUUUAUCGCCUUUGGAGGGGCCCGCGUCGGAUUAGGUAGUUGGUGGGGUAACGGCUCACCAAGCCUGUGAUCCGUAGCUGGUCUGAGAGGAUGAUCAGCCACACUGGGACUGAGACACGGCCCAGACUCCUACGGGAGGCAGCAGUGGGGAGUAUUGGACAAUGGGGGCAACCCUGAUCCAGCAAUGCCGCGUGGGUGAUGAAGGCCUUCGGGUUGUAAAGCCCUUUCGGCGGGGACGAUGAUGACGGUACCCGCAGAAGAAGCCCCGGCUAACUUCGUGCCAGCCGCCGCCGUAACAC